rnacentral:rRNA from 1 species
UGGCGAACGGGUGAGUAAUAUAUCGGAACGUGCCCAGUCGUGGGGGAUAACGUAGAGAAAUUUACGCUAAUACCGCAUACGAUCUAAGGAUGAAAGCGGGGGACUUGCAAGAGCCUCGCGCGAUUGGAGCGGCUGAUAUCAGAUUAGGUUGUUGGUGAGGUAAAAGCUCACCAAGCCGACGAUCUGUAGCUGGUUUGAGAGAACGACCAGCCACACUGGGACUGAGACACGGCCCAGACUCCUACGGGAGGCAGCAGUGGGGAAUUUUGGACAAUGGGCGCAAGCCUGAUCCAGCAAUGCCGCGUGCAGGAAGAAGGCCUUCGGGUUGUGAACUGCUUUUGUCAGGGAAGAAAUCCUCUGGGUUAAUACCUCGGGGGGAUGACGGUACCUGAAGAAUAAGCACCGGCUAACUACGUGCCAGCAGCCGCGGUAAUACGUAGGGUGCGAGCGUUAAUCGGAAUUACUGGGCGUAAAGCGUGCGCAGGCGGCUUUGCAAGACAGAUGUGAAAUCCCCGGGCUCAACCUGGGAACUGCAUUUGUGAC